AGAGUUUGAUCAUGGCUCAGAGCGAACGCUGGCGGCAGGCCUAACACAUGCAAGUCGAGCGGCCGUAGCAAUACGGCAGCGGCAGACGGGAGAGUAACACGUGGGAACGCGCCCUUCGGUUCGGAAUAACUCAGGGAAACUUGGGCUAAUACCGGAUACGCCCUUACGGGGAAAGAUUUAUUGCCGAAGGAACGGUCCGCGUCCGAUUAGCUUGUUGGUGAGGUAACGGCUCACCAAGGCGACGAUCGGUAGCUGGUCUGAGAGGAUGACCAGCCUCACUGGGACUGAGACACGGCCCAGACUCCUACGGGAGGCAGCAGUGGGGAAUAUUGGACAAUGGGCGCAAGCCUGAUCCAGCCAUGCCGCGUGAGUGAUGAAGGCCCUAGGGUUGUAAAGCUCUUUUGUGCGGGAAGAUAAUGACGGUACCGCAAGAAUAAGCCCCGGCUAACUUCGUGCCAGCAGCCGCGGUAAUACGAAGGGGGCUAGCGUUGCUCGGAAUCACUGGGCGUAAAGGGUGCGUAGGCGGGUCUUUAAGUCAGGGGUGAAAUCCUGGAGCUCAACUCCAGAACUGCCUUUGAUACUGAAGAUCUUGAGUUCGGAAGAGGUGAGUGGAACUGCGAGUGUAGAGGUGAAAUUCGUAGAUAUUCGCAAGAACACCAGUGGCGAAGGCGGCUCACUGGCCCGAUACUGACGCUGAGGCACGAAAGCGUGGGGAGCAAACAGGAUUAGAUACCCUAGUAGUCC
rnacentral:rRNA from 1 species